rnacentral:rRNA from 1 species
AUACGGAGGGUGCGAGCGUUAUCCGGAUUUAUUAGGGUUAAAGGGUGUGUAGGCGGGAGCCUAAGUCAGUGGUGAAAUCUCACAGCUUAACUGUGAAACUGCCAUUGAAACUGGGUUUCUUGAGUAUAGUUGAGGUAGGCGGAAUGUGUAAUGUAGCGGUGAAAUGCAUAGAUAUUACAUAGAACACCGAUUGCGAAGGCAGCUUACUAAGCUAUUACUGACGCUGAUGCACGAAAGCGUGGGUAGCGAACAGGAUUAGAAACCCGAGUAGUCC